rnacentral:rRNA from 1 species
UACAGAGGGUGCAAGCGUUGUUCGGAAUUAUUGGGCGUAAAGGGCGCGUAGGCGGUGCGGUAAGUCUGCAGUGAAAUCUCUGGGCUCAACUCAGAGUCUGCUGUGGAUACGGUCGAGCUUGAGCAAGCUAGGGGGCAAUGGAAUUCCCGGUGUAGUGGUGGAAUGCGUAGAUAUCGGGAGGAACACCAGUGGCGAAGGCGGUUGCCUGGAGCUUUGCUGACGCUGAGGCGCGAAAGCGUGGGGAGCGAUCCGG